rnacentral:rRNA from 1 species
GGGGGAAUAUUGCACAAUGGGGGAAACCCGUAGAUGCAGCAACGCCGCGUGAAGGAAGACGGUCUUCGGAUUGUAAACUUUUGUUCUUGGUGAAGAAAAAUAGACGGUAGCCAAGGAGGAAGCCACGGCUAACUACGUGCCAGCAGCCGCGGUAAUACGUAUGGUGCAAGCGUUAUCCGGAUUUACUGGGUGUAAAGGGAGCGCAGACGGCAUGGCAAGCCAGAUGUGAAAGGUGGGGGCUCAACCCCCAAGCUGCAUUUGGAACUGUCAAGCUAGAGUAUCGGAGAGGUAAGUGGAAUUCCUAGUGUAGCGGUGAAAUGCGUAGAUAUUAGGAGGAACACCAGUGGCGAAGGCGGCUUACUGGACGAUAACUGACGUUGAGGCUCGAAAGCGUGGGGAGCAAACAGGAUUAGAUACCCUGGUAGU